rfam:Dipodomys ordii contig_52986, whole genome shotgun sequence.
GGUGGAAAGGUUCAAGUACUAGAGUACCAGCCUAGUAAGCAUGAGGUCCUGAGUUCAAACCCCAGUACCACCA